ACUCGUCUGCUAUUCUUGUCAAUAGGAAAGUUACUUCUUUCAGCAAUUACUUUCAGGGGUCAGCUACUGCCAUUCUCCAUGCUACGCUUUGCUUUUUGAAAAUCGUCAAAGGAAACAAAUGCAAAACUCAAUUGCGCAUGAAUUAAUGCUGCAAAUGCAACACCUCGAGUGUCACUAUGAUGUUAAACUGGAAAGCAACCUCCUCCUCCUGGACGGGAAUCCAACACCUCGAGUGAAAAUUUGCGACUUUGUUUACUCAAAGGUGUGAUAGUUAUGUUUCCAGGAUUGCUAGAGUUUAUAUGACUUUGACUACUUGAUCAAAUUAUGGCAUCAAGGUUUCAGUCUGAUUUGCUGCAUUCCAAACAAAAAAACAACCUUUGGUACUCCCAACAUACAUAGCACCCGAAGUUUUUCCGAGAAAAGAAUAACAAGGGGUCAGCUACUGCCAUUCUCCAUGCUACGCUUUGCUUUUUGAAAAUCGUCAAAGGAAACAAAUGCAAAACUCAAUUGCGCAUGAAUUAAUGCUGCAAAUGCAACACCUCGAGUGUCACUAUGAUGUUUAACUGGAAAGCAACCUCCUCCUCCUGGACGGGAAUCCAACACCUCAAGUUUCAGUCUGAUUUGCUGUAUUCCAAACAAAAAAACAACCUUUGGUACUCCCAACAUACAUAGCACCCGAAGU